rnacentral:misc_RNA from 1 species
ACUCCAAAAAGCUUUGUUGAAUAUUUAUCCAUGCUGAGACUACAAAACAUUUUAUCAUAUUCGUAUGCAAGCAACUUGCUAGCCAUAUCAAAAACUGCCAGAGGCGAAAAUAUAUAUAACAAUCACUAGACAAGCCGAAGUUGGUCUACUUGACUUAAUACACAUUGACUCUCACAUCUUUUUGGCAAACAGAAGAAGAAAACAUUUCCUACAACCCUGUUUUGGACAUCGCCAUUUCAAUGCGUUUACCUGGAUUAGGAGAUGAGGCAUAAUUAAGGUCCUGAUUACUUGAAUGCUACAUUUUUGGUUUUCUUGUUCCCUCUCUUCUUUGCACUACUCUUUUCAGGUCCCUCUGCCUCUUCCGCCUUCUGCUCUGCCUCUAGAAUGGCCAACUCAUCAAGGAUAGGUUUGAGCUUGCUGAAUGUCGAUACAAAGAGCUCAAACCUAUCCUUGAUGAGUUGGCCAUUCUAGAGGCAGAGCAGAAGGCGGAAGAGGCAGAGGGACCUGAAAAGAGUAGUGCAAAGAAGAGAGGGAACAAGAAAACCAAAAAUGUAGCAUUCAAGUAAUCAGGACCUUAAUUAUGCCUCAUCUCCUAAUCCAGGUAAACGCAUUGAAAUGGCGAUGUCCAAAACAGGGUUGUAGGAAAUGUUUUCUUCUUCUGUUUGCCAAAAAGAUGUGAGAGUCAAUGUGUAUUAAGUCAAGUAGACCAACUUCGGCUUGUCUAGUGAUUGUUAUAUAUAUUUUCGCCUCUGGCAGUUUUUGAUAUGGCUAGCAAGUUGCUUGCAUACGAAUAUGAUAAAAUGUUUUGUAGUCUCAGCAUGGAUAAAUAUUCAACAAAGCUUUUUGGAGU